UGGGGGAUAUUGCACAAUGGGCGAAAGCCUGAUGCAGCGACGCCGCGUGGGGGAUGAAGGCUUUCGGGUUGUAAACCUCUUUCGCUAUCGAACAAGGCCCGCUUAGGGUGGGUUGAGGGUAGGUGGAGAAGAAGCGCCGGUUAACUACGUGCCAGCAGCCGCGGUAAUACGUAGGGCGCGAGCGUUGUCCGGAAUUAUUGGGCGUAAAGGGCUUGUAGGCGGCUUGUUGCGCCUGCUGUGAAAACGCGGGGCUUAACUUCGCGCGUGCAGUGGGUACGGGCAGGCUUGAGUGUGUAGGGGUGACUGGAAUUCCAGGUGUAGCGGUGGAAUGCGCAGAUAUCUGGAGGAACACCGAUGGCGAAGGCAGGUCACUGGGCCAUUACUGACGCUGAGGAGCGAAAGCAUGGGUAGCGAACAGG
rnacentral:rRNA from 1 species